AUACGGAGGAUCCGAGCGUUAUCCGGAUUUAUUGGGUUUAAAGGGUGCGCAGGCGGCUAUUUAAGUCAGCGGUUAAAUCGUGGGGCUCAACCCCAUUCUGCCGUUGAUACUGGGUGGCUUGAUUGCGGUCGAGGUUGGCGGAAUUCGUUGUGUAGCGGUGAAAUGCAUAGAUAUGACGAAGAACACCGAUUGCGUAGGCAGCUGACCAGACCGCAAAUGACGCUCAUGCACGAAAGUGCGGGGAUCGAACAGGAUUAGAUACCCUGGUAGUCCGCACAGUAAACGAUGAAUACUUGUUUUCGGCGAUAUAAUGUCGGAGGCAAAGCGAAAGCGAUAAGUAUGCCACCUGGGGAGUACGCCGGCAACGGUGAAACUCAAAUG
rnacentral:rRNA from 1 species